rnacentral:rRNA from 1 species
GACGUAGGGCGCGAGCGUUGUCCGGAUUUAUUGGGCGUAAAGAGCUCGUAGGCGGUUUGUCGCGUCGAAUGUGAAAACCCGGGGCUCAACCCUGGGCCUGCAUUCGAUACGGGCAGACUAGAGUUCGGUAGGGGAGACUGGAAUUCCUGGUGUAGCGAUGAAAUGCGCAGAUAUCAGGAGGAACACCGGUGGCGAAGGCGGGUCUCUGGGCCGAAACUGACGCUGAGGAGCGAAAGCGUGGGGAGCAAACAGG